rnacentral:rRNA from 1 species
AGAAGGAGCCUGAGAAACGGCUACUACAUCUAAGGAAGGCAGCAGGCGCGUAAAUUACCCAAUCCUGACUCAGGGAGGUAGUGACAAGAUAUAACGACGCGAUUUAAAGUAGCGAUUGUAGUGAGGGUAUUCCAAAUUGAACCACUAGUACGAUUGGAGGGCAAGUCUGGUGCCAGCAGCCGCGGUAAUUCCAGCUCCAAUAGCGUAUAUUAAAGUUGUUGCAGUUAAAAAGCUCGUAGAUGGAUUUCAAGGGUCGCGACGUGGACACACGUUUGCUCCCUACCAGUCUUUGACUGUUACUGUGAGAAAAUUAGAGUGUUUCAAGCAGGCUGUUGCAGGAAUACAUUAGCAUGGAAUAACGAAUGUGUCUAGAAUCGUGGUUAGUUCUAGAUUACGAUCAAUAGGGACAGUUGGGGGCACUAGUAUUUAAUUGUCAGAGGUGAAAUUCUAGGAUUUGUUAAAGACUAACGUAUGCGAAAGCAUUUGCCAAGGAUGUUUUCA